CCUACGGGUUGCAGCAGUGGGGAACAUUGCACAAUGAGCGCAAGCCUGAUGCAGCCAUGCCGCGUGUAUGAAGAAGGCCUUCGGGUUGUAAAGUACUUUCAGCGGGGAGGAAGGUGUUGAGGUUAAUAACCUCAGCAAUUGACGUUACCCGCAGAAGAAGCACCGGCUAACUCCGUGCCAGCAGCCACGGUAAUACGGAGGGUGCAAGCGUUAACCGGAAUUACUGGGCGUAAAGCGCACGCAGGCGGUCUGUCAAGUCGGAUGUGAAAUCCCCGGGCUCAACCUGGGAACUGCAUUCGAAACUGGCAGGCUGGAGUCUUGUAGAGGGGGGUAGAAUUCCAGGUGUAGCGGUGAAAUGCGUAGAGAUCUGGAGGAAUACCGGUGGCGAAGGCGGCCCCCUGGACAAAGACUGACGCUCAGGUGCGAAAGCGUGGGGAGCAAACAGGAUUAGAUACCCGCGUAGUC
rnacentral:rRNA from 1 species